GUGAGUUUAACAAAUUUCAUAGCCGAGUCUGAUGAUGAUAAUGCUUCACCGAAGCUUUUUUAUGCUGAAUAUUCUAUAAGUAGUGAGAUUCGGGUUAAAUAUUGUUGUGUCUUGGAGAAGUUUGAAUCUGGGUUUGUCGAUCCAAAAUAUGAUGGAAAGUAUGGAUAUUGCAGUUUCUGUGAAGGCACUGAUGUGGUUCAUCCUAGUCCCUAUUACGGUUAUCGUUGUGGUAACUAGUGGAGAAUGGAGAUGAGUGCUGAUUCCAGGUUCAGGUUGCAUUACUCGUAUUCUUGUGUCUGUUCUAGUGAAAGUUCAAAAUAUAAAUUGAAGACUGACUCAUAUUAUUUUCUGUAUUCUGCUACAUAUUUUGAAUGUUUGUAAUUGACUAGGUUUUUUUAUUGUGAAAUUUAACUGUA